GUGGAAAGCUUCAGAGAUAACUAAAGGGCUUAAGACUGGAAACUGAAGAACUCAGAAGCUCAGGAUCUCAGAGAGGAUGCUGACUGGUGAUGUCUGACCCUCGUUAAGUGUCUGGAUUUGGUUGUGGAUCUUGGGGAGAACAGCACCCUCUUGAAAGAGCUAGAGCCAUAUUCCUGUAGUCCUCCUAAUGCUCUCUGCCUCUCUGAUGACCACUGGUUUGAAAUGCCAAGUUAUCCACUUCUCCACGGCAAUAUUUAUAUUAUCCUACUGAUGUUAACCAGACCUGCUACUCACAAGUCCUCUCCCAAUCCCGGCCCAAUUUAAGGUUGCUUCUGGUGAAGAGAGUCACUUUGAGAAGGUCUGGAGGUAGCAUACAUUACUUCUGCUGCAUUGUCCUGACCAGAAACC
rnacentral:lncRNA from 1 species